UUCAUAUUAGCUUAAAAUAAAGCAUAGCUUUGAAGAGGCUUAGAUCUCUAUAAUUUUGAUAUGAAA
rnacentral:tRNA from 1 species